rnacentral:lncRNA from 1 species
AUAAAAGAAUGCAGAUGUUUAAAUAUUUUAUUUUUUCUUUUUGUGUUUAGAAAUGCACUCGGUGAUGGAAAGAGAGCCAUUAUUCUGAAGAGCACUUGGCCAAAGGGUCAUUAUCGUUAUUGUGGUGCUCUUUCUAUGCUGGAGGAAUAUGACUAGGCCCUGGAAGCAAGAAUAAAAGCUCAAAAACUCUGUAAAGAUGACCCUGAGGGAAUCAAGGAUCUAAUUCAGCAGCAUGUAAAGUUACAAAAACAAAUAGAAGACCGACAAGGGCAUAUAUACCUAGGAAUUUAUCAGCACCUGCUUUUAGUACUUCACUUAACUUUGUGGAGACGGAAAGAGAUCUCAAAAAAGCUAACUACAAGAUGGCAAACGGUGGUAAUCAGAACCUAAAGGAAAGCUCAGUUAAAAACUUAAAAUUAUUUCAGCUAUUAAUAGUAA